UCAUCAUAUUCUGUUUCAGAAAUCGCGACGGUUCUGCUGUAUUACGUCACAAUAUACGUUACUCGCGACGUUAGGUCACAAUUGAUGCGUUCGUUAUAUUCGUUACGUCACAACUCGACACAAUUUCUCGCGUUAUUGUUACGUCAUAGCUCAACCACAUGCGCUUGCCAUAAUGCGGUUUGUUCUACGCUUGCGUUUCGCGUUUUUUUUUUCAUGGGGCCCCAUGCGCGUUUUGCAUCGAUGCAAGGCACAUUACUUGUAUAUUUUUAAUUAUAUUUGCGCUAUAUGAGCGCGAAGCAAGAAGAUCAAAGAAUUGGUAAAGUAUAAAUCACAAUUGGCAUUGUCACCUACAUAACCUCUUUUCUAGAAACAUCGAUGAUGUGACGUCACGAAGUGGUAAUAAUGCAACAGAAGAACCAACUUCGACAUGGUAUGUGACGUCACAGAGGAUCAAGCCGACCAUCACGAUAAGAAAGAAUGGAGAAAAGUUAGCAAGGAAAGCUGCCGAAGAAAAUCGCACGAAGAAGAACAAAGACGAAGACGCGAUAAAGGAUACACGGUUUGAGAUUUGAAGUUUAUAAGUAUGAGUUGAGUGUUGAAUGUGUGUAUCUGCGCUGCAGUCCUCUAUUCUGCUGGACCUAAUGUUGCCAGCGAUUUUUAGUCAGUCACUACUACAGUGCAUUUUGCAUGUCAUUGAAAUAUCUACAGAGAAAUUAUAGCGAACAUCUUGCUGGAUCAGAUUUUGUUGUUGUACACUCUAUUCUGUGUAUAUAAUGUCCAGGUCGCUUGGUAAGAACGCCAUGUUGGUGCACAAAUACUCGAGUAAUAUUAACACGCAAUAUAAUAUGCGCAAAGAUAUGUUAGGAACACUUUUAAACUAAUGUAACGUAAACUUCUACACGUAACUUUACAUUAAAACGUCAUGUAGCGUGAUUGGGACGAUGGCCACGUCACAAUUACGCUACGACGUCGAUACGGUGGGUCAGAGCAUUCUCAUGACCAUGCGUUCGGUGCGGUUACGUCAAUUUUGAUUGAGUUACGUCACGGUCUGGUUGUUGCGUAGACGUCACCGCCAGUGAUGCUACGCUCAGAUAUUUAGGUCACUGUCAAUGCGGUUCGUAACAACCUGACGCAGUUUUGUAACGGUCAAAGCGGUGCGUAACAUCCGGACGUUAUUAUUAUAUUGUGUGAAGAUAAGAGUAUCGCGGUACCAACAUGGCGACUUAUAUACCUUUUAAUUCGGAAAUGGUGUACACUACGAAAGAUUAUCCUUUAGGAUUUGAACCAUAUUUUCUUUGUUAAUUUUUCAAUGAUAUGUCCGUGUUAAAUACCUUUUGAUUGCUUCCCUUUUUUGAUAUGAUUGAGCUGUUGUGUUUGUUGCAUGUUUGGCACAUGUAUGUCGCUGCACUCGUUCUAAUAUUUUUGUCUUUUUGUUGGUGUAUUCCUUGUUGUGCACAGUGUUCAUGUGCGUCAUUGUAUUAUUUUUGUCUAUGGGGGUUUGUUUAACCUGCGUGGACAGUAACAUCCCGCAAGGGUUUCUCACCAGAGUAGAAACCCAUUACCAUUGGCUGGGGGCUUGUCGUGCCGUAGUGGCUUUCCACCAACGCCAGCCACAUAAAUUAUGAAGGUAUUCUAAUCUUGUUUCUAUUUUUCAGAAGUUUCUUUAAUAAAGUGAUCACAUGUUUAUUUGCGCAAUUACUUCGUCUUGUUGCAAACGAAUAAAUAAUUAACAGAACUGAA